GAUCAUGGCUCAGGAUGAACGCUGGCGGCGUGCUUAGCACAUGCAAGUCGAACGGAACUACUUUGAUGAGAUUCUUCGGAAAGGAUUUGAUUUAGUUUAGUGGCGGACGGGUGAGUAACGCGUGGGUAACCUGCCUCAUACAGGGGGAUAACAGUUGGAAACGGCUGUUAAUACCGCAUAAGCGCACGGUACCGCAUGGUACCGUGUGAAAAACUCCGGUGGUAUGAGAUGGACCCGCGUCUGAUUAG
rnacentral:rRNA from 1 species